UACAGAGGGUGCAGGCGUUGUUCGGAAUUAUUGGGCGUAAAGCGCGUGUAGGCGGCUUUGCAAGUCGGGUGUGAAAGCCCUCAGCUCAACUGAGGAAGUGCGCCCGAAACUGCAGAGCUUGAGUGCCGGAGAGGGUGGCGGAAUUCCCCAAGUAGAGGUGAAAUUCGUAGAUAUGGGGAGGAACACCGGUGGCGAAGGCGGCCACCUGGACGGUAACUGACGCUGAGGCGCGAAAGCUAGGGGAGCAAACAGG
rnacentral:rRNA from 1 species